rnacentral:rRNA from 1 species
UGCAGUCGAACGGCAGCGCGGGAGCAAUCCUGGCGGCGAGUGGCGAACGGGUGAGUAAUACAUCGGAACGUGCCCAAUCGUGGGGGAUAACGCAGCGAAAGCUGUGCUAAUACCGCAUACGAUCUACGGAUGAAAGCAGGGGAUCGCAAGACCUUGCGCGAAUGGAGCGGCCGAUGGCAGAUUAGGUAGUUGGUGAGGUAAAGGCUCACCAAGCCUUCGAUCUGUAGCUGGUCUGAGAGGACGACCAGCCACACUGGGACUGAGACACGGCCCAGACUCCUACGGGAGGCAGCAGUGGGGAAUUUUGGACAAUGGGCGAAAGCCUGAUCCAGCCAUGCCGCGUGCAGGAUGAAGGCCUUCGGGUUGUAAACUGCUUUUGUACGGAACGAAAAGUCUCUUUCUAAUAAAGAGGGAUCAUGACGGUACCGUAAGAAUAAGCACCGGCUAACUACGUGCCAGCAGCCGCGGUAAUACGUAGGGUGCAAGCGUUAAUCGGAAUUACUGGGCGUA